rnacentral:rRNA from 1 species
AAUGAACGCUGGCGGCAUGCCUAACACAUGCAAGUCGAACGAAGGCUUCGGCCUUAGUGGCGCACGGGUGCGUAACGCGUGGGAAUCUGCCCUCAGGUUCGGAAUAACAGCGAGAAAUUGCUGCUAAUACCGGAUGAUAUCGCGAGCUCAAAGAUUUAUCGCCUGGGGAUGAGCCCGCGUAGGAUUAGCUAGUUGGUGUGGUAAAGGCGCACCAAGGCGACGAUCCUGAGCUGGUCUGAGAGGAUGAUCGGCCACACUGGGACUGAGACACGGCCGAGACUCCUACGGGAGGCAGCAGUGGGGAAUAUUGGGCAAUGGGCGAAAGCCUGAUCCAGCAAUGCCGCGUGAGUGAUGAAGGCCUGAGGGUUGUAAAGCUCUUUUACCCGGGAUGAUAAUGACAGUACCGGGAGAAUAAGCGCCGGCUAACUCCGUGCCAGCCGCCGCCGUAA